AAAUUGAAGAGUUUGAUCAUGGCUCAGAUUGAACGCUGGCGGCAGGCCUAACACAUGCAAGUCGAACGGUAACAGGAAGAAGCUUGCUUCUUUGCUGACGAGUGGCGGACGGGUGAGUAAUGUCUGGGAAACUGCCUGGUGGAGGGGGAUAACUACUGGAAACGGUAGCUAAUACCGCAUAACGUCGCAAGACCAAAGAGGGGGACCUUCGGGCCUCUUGCCAUCGGAUGUGCCCAGAUGGGAUUAGCUAGUAGGUGGGGUAACGGCUCACCUAGGCGACGAUCCCUAGCUGGUCUGAGAGGAUGACCAGCCACACUGGAA
rnacentral:rRNA from 1 species